rnacentral:rRNA from 1 species
UGGCUCAGGACGAACGCUGGCGGCGUGCCUAAUACAUGCAAGUCGAGCGGACAGAAGGGAGCUUGCUCCCGGAUGUUAGCGGCGGACGGGUGAGUAACACGUGGGUAACCUGCCUGUAAGACUGGGAUAACUCCGGGAAACCGGAGCUAAUACCGGAUAGUUCCUUGAACCGCAUGGUUCAAGGAUGAAAGACGGUUUCGGCUGUCACUUACAGAUGGACCCGCGGCGCAUUAGCUAGUUGGUGAGGUAACGGCUCACCAAGGCGACGAUGCGUAGCCGACCUGAGAGGGUGAUCGGCCACACUGGGACUGAGACACGGCCCAGACUCCUACGGGAGGCAGCAGUAGGGAAUCUUCCGCAAUGGACGAAAGUCUGACGGAGCAACGCCGCGUGAGUGAUGAAGGUUUUCGGAUCGUAAAGCUCUGUUGUUAGGGAAGAACAAGUGCAAGAGUAACUGCUUGCACCUGACGGUACCU